UCCAAACAAAUAGUAAAACAAAAGUUUGUGAAAGUUCUGAUUGGUUCUGUUGGAUCAAUGAGUAACAAAGUGGAUUAUGUUAAGACUUAAGAGUAUGAUAAGUUUCUUGGCACAAAUUUAAACUUGUCAAAGUCAGUUCUGUGAACUCCAGCUACAACACAUGUUGCCUCACUUUACUCUGCUGCUGAUGUUUAUGUCAUAAACUCUCAGGUAAAAUAUAAGAACAAAGGGAGUAACUAAUAUAUAAGCUCUUGUAUGAUACCUUUAUAAGUGCUUUUUGAAGAAACAAUUAGAUUAUUUACUAUACAAAUGCCCUCCAAGUAGUUCAAUAUAAUUUUCAUCCUAAAAAUUGCUUUCUUUAAUUUGGACUCUUCAUUUAUACUAUCUUUAAGAAGCAAAGAGGUAACAUAAGGAAGAUUAUACAAUAUGAUAUUUGUUCAUCAUGUUAUAGGUUCACCUGCAAAUAAAAAAAUCUCAACUGAAAAUCUAAAAACCAAAUUGGAGAUAUAAAGAGAUGCAAGAAGAGAACUACCACUUAUAACAGAUGAUCAAAACCUUCAAGCUAGAUCAAAAUCCACCAUUUAUCUGCAAAAACCACAAUCUCAUCAAAUGUUNNNAAACUCAAAAACAUAAUAACCUUAAUCACCAAAAAUAAAAAAUUAGGUCCAAAAUAAUCUACUUUUCUUGUUAAAUCUAAAUCAACAGAAAUAGAAUAGCAAAAUAUUCGUCUAUUGACACCUAUAAAAUCAAAAAAUCAGCUUAUUUUGAAUUCAGCUGUACCAAUCAACAACACCCUAAUUAAACCCAUGUUCAAAGGGCUGAAAAGGAGAAUCACAAAUAUUAUGAUUUGUGCCAAUAAAAGAUAACUUAUUUUGAACAAUUAAAAACAAAUAAAAUCGGUACAAAGCAACGUGUAAUUUAGUAUUAGUUAAUAUAUAUAUUACCGUUCAAACUUGACAUUUCAGAGGCUUAUAAUGUCAUCCCAUCUAACAUUAGGCACUAAAACAACAUGUUGCUAAAAAAGUUAGUAACAAAAAAGACUAAUAAAGAGGAGUUACAAAUUACUGCUAAUGAUUUGAAACUACAUGUUAAAAAAUAUAGAAAAAUGUGAAUUGAUAUGAAACCGAAUUUCAUGAAUGACUUGCAAGAAUUUGUUUCAUGGUUGAUGCUUCCAAUAAACCUUAUUUUUUUGUGCCUAUCUCAUCCUCAGAUCCAAUGCCAAACUUUGAAGGACUUUAGUCACUGCUAAAAAAUUCAACUAACUACUAAGAUAAUCCAA
rnacentral:lncRNA from 1 species